AAAGAUUUCUUCGGAAUGAAUUUGAUUUAGUUUAGUGGCGGACGGGUGAGUAACGCGUGAGUAACCUGCCUUCAAGAGGGGGAUAACAUUCUGAAAAGAAUGCUAAUACCGCAUGACAUAUCGGAAUCACAUGAUUUUGAUAUCAAAGAUUUUAUCGCUUGAAGAUGGACUCGCGUCCGAUUAGUUAGUUGGUGAGGUAACGGCUCACCAAGACCGCGAUCGGUAGCCGGACUGAGAGGUUGAACGGCCACAUUGGGACUGAGACACGGCCCAGACUCCUACGGGAGGCAGCAGUGGGGGAUAUUGCGCAAUGGGGGCAACCCUGACGCAGCAACGCCGCGUGAAGGAUGAAGGUUUUCGGAUUGUAAACUUCUUUUAUUAAGGACGAAAAAUGACGGUACUUAAUGAAUAAGCUCCGGCUAACUACGUGCCAGCAGCCGCGGUAAUACGUAGGGAGCAAGCGUUGUCCGGAUUUACUGGGUGUAAAGGGUGCGUAGGCGGCUUUGCAAGUCAGAUGUGAAAUCUAUGGGCUCAACCCAUAAACUGCAUUUGAAACUGUAGAGCUUGAGUGAAGUAGAGGCAGGCGGAAUUCCCCGUGUAGCGGUGAAAUGCGUAGAGAUGGGGAGGAACACCAGUGGCGAAGGCGGCCUGCUGGGCUUUAACUGACGCUGAGGCACGAAAGCGUGGGUAGCAAACAGGAUUAGAUACCCUGGUAGUCCACGCUGUAAACGAUGAUUACUAGGUGUGGGGGGUCUGACCCCU
rnacentral:rRNA from 1 species